CUGGCUCUAAGAAUUCCUGAAACAAGGGGCUCAUCUGACCUGACGUCAUGUGUGACCAUGAAGUCCAUCUCCCACGGACGUGAGCUGAGGGAGCAGAAGCCAGAUUGUGUGCCCUUCCCCACACGAAGAGCCUCAGGUCUUGGUAGAGCAGCACGACAUUCUGGUGUGGCCAUAAGAGGGUGUGGGAGGGGCAGACGGGGGAGAAAAAUGGGGCAAGCAGCGCCUCCUCAGCCCCCCAACCCAAUGACCCUUAACAGCCACGAGCACCCACAGGAGCAGGUGUUUUAGGACAGCCAGUCGAGAAGGCGAGGCAGACAUUGCCAAUUCACCUUUCCGGAGUUGUCUUCUGUUCCGCGUGGGGAGAAGAUGAUCGAGGAGGCUGCUGGGAGCAUAGGGGAGGCACCUUGUGCCCACACACAUCUGGGGAUGAACUCUUGGGGUCAUGCGGAGUGAGUCCUAACUGUGUACGGCUUUAGAGGGCGUCUCCAACUCAACCAACCGCUCAGUGCUCAGGGCAGUCUUAUCUCAUGGAUACAUCAUGACAGAUGCCAAUGGCAAUGUAAUCAUCAGAAAGUAUUCUUUAAAUUUCUUGAAGCAAGCAACCAGAAAUAUUAAAGAUAAGCCUAAAUAUAAGGCAGCCCUCUGUAACCCAC